UUGGACUGAACCCAUGUGGAGUCUAAACAGUGGCCUAGUGCUAGAGCAAUGUCUGUUCUUUUCCUCUGCAUUGGAAGGACUACUUAUCCUUUUAAAUGUAUUUAAAAAGUCAGCACAUUA
ensembl:snoRNA small nucleolar RNA SNORA22